rnacentral:misc_RNA from 1 species
GAUGAAGAACGUAGCGAAAUGCGAUAAGUAGUGUGAAUUGCAGAAUUCAGUGAAUCAUCGAAUCUUUGAACGCACAUUGCGCCCUUUGGUAUUCCAAAGGGCAUGCCUGUUCGAGCGUCAUUUGUACCCUCAAGCUUUGCUUGGUGUUGGGCGUCUUGUCUCUAGCUUUGCUGGAGACUCGCCUUAAAGUAAUUGGCAGCCGGCCUACUGGUUUCGGAGCGCAGCACAAGUCGCACUCUCUAUCAGCAGAGGUCUAGCAUCCAUUAAGCCUUUUUUUCAACUUUUGACCUCGGAUCAGGUAGGGAUACCCGCUGAACUUAAGCAUAUCAAUAAGCGGAGGA